AGUGAACGCUGGCGGUAGGCCUAACACAUGCAAGUCGAACGGCAGCACAGUAAGAGCUUGCUCUUACGGGUGGCGAGUGGCGGACGGGUGAGGAAUACAUCGGAAUCUACUUUUUCGUGGGGGAUAACGUAGGGAAACUUACGCUCAUACCGCAUACGCCCUACGGGUGAAAGCAGGGGAUCUUCGGACCUUGCGCGAUUGAAUGAGCCGAUGUCGGAUUAGCUAGUUGGUGGGGUAGUGGCUUACCAAGGCUUUGACGGGUAGCCGGCCUGAGAGGGUGACCGGCCACAUUGGGACUGAGAUACGGCCCAGACUCCUACGGGAGGCAGCAGUGGGGAAUAUUGCACAAUGGGCGGAAGCCUGAUGCAGCAACGCCGCGUGCGGGAUGACGGCCUUCGGGUUGUAAACCGCUUUCGCCUGUGACGAAGCGUGAGUGACGGUAAUGGGUAAAGAAGCACCGGCUAACUACGUG
rnacentral:rRNA from 1 species